rnacentral:rRNA from 1 species
UACGUAGGGUGCGAGCGUUAAUCGGAAUUACUGGGCGUAAAGCGUGCGCAGGCGGUUUUGCAAGACAGAUGUGAAAUCCCCGGGCUUAACCUGGGAACUGCAUUUGUGACUGCAAGGCUAGAGUGUGUCAGAGGGAGGUGGAAUUCCGCGUGUAGCAGUGAAAUGCGUAGAGAUGCGGAGGAACACCGAUGGCGAAGGCGGCAUCCUGGACCGGUAUUGACGCUGAUGCGCGAAAGCCAGGGGAGCAAACGGG